UGGCGUUGGAAUUUCGAAAAUGUCUGCCGUUACCAUGGAAACAAUGCAAAACAGGUCAAAAUGCUCCAAAAACUUCAGGGUUUGGUGAAUAAUUUUGGUAUGCCUUUAUUUAGAAUCAACUUAUUUUCAUACAAUAUAGUUUUCAACUUUAUACAGGUUUUGAAUGAUUUUGACAAUCAUUGGAACUACAAUGUUACCAUGGAUACAGC
rnacentral:lncRNA from 1 species